rnacentral:lncRNA from 1 species
CUCUGUUCUCCAAAUGUGGAUGUGAUAUGAAGACUGCCAGAGUUCCUGCCUGAGCUCCUCGAAAGGGUGGACUGUAAUCUGGAAUUGUGACACAAACAAGCCAUUUCCUCCUCCACAUUGCUUUUCACCCGAGUCUGUCAGAGCAACAGAAACGAAACUAGAACAUGUACCAAGAUGACUUCUUUCAGAAAUGUGGAACUAGGCCCAUGUCUCCUUGCCUGAACAUUCAUUCUGCAGCUGGGAAGAGGAUGGGGAAGACAUCCAUUCCUGGUCUACGAUCCUUGAAGCAGUAUGAAGAGUUGCUUUUCUAUUGGAGGCACCACACACUUUGCUCCUUUGUCCCCCUCUGUUUGGAGCAUUCCUUGCUUGUGUGUCCUGCAGAUUCUGGUUCUUAGGCCAGAGCCACCCAUUGCCCCCUUGCUUCUCCAACUCCUGGAAUGACUCCAUGGCUCAUAUCUGACUCUCCAAGGCCCCUGAGUUUUCAUGAUCUGAACCUAUCCUUAUCCAUCUACUUCCCAACUGGAGGACUGAGAGAAAGCUGUAAAGACAAAUCAUUUAGACCUACUUGAUAGUCAAGAAAGCACUACUAACUAAAUGUCCUGUCUUUAGGAACAGAAACAUAUUUUUUAGUUAAAAAGCAGUUAUAAUGUAUGUGUUAUAUAUAUCAAAUCAGGCUAUCCCACAUGGGCUAACAAUACCUACCUCAGGAGUCAUAGAGUAUCUAACAAAACCCCCUAUAUCAGACACAAGACGCCACAUUUUGAGUUGUUGCUUAGGACUGUCCAAAAGACUCCUAAAACAAUAUAGGUUAUCACUGGUUGCCUCUCAGAGGUUGAAAAUAAAUUCCUAUUGUGAAGACGACAUGCAUUUCUGGUACAAGACUGGAAGAUCUGAGCUAGAUCUUCCUUGAAGACUAGCUGUCCUAGAACUGGAAUGUGAAAGCUUUCAAGGAAAGACAGCAACCAGAGGUCCUGCCCAGCUUCAAUGCCUAUGAACCACAGUGACCAGCACAGCAUCAGACCCUAAGGGGGACAAUAAUAGUACUCAUAUCUUAUAGUAGCCAACAGCUCUCUUAUUGGACUUAAGACCUCUUAACAGGAGGGAAAUAAUGCCUGGUACUGGAACCUAGCUAACUACCCCAGAGCAGUGAGGUCUUAGAGAGCUUUAUACUGCCACCUAACUAAGCCAGCAUGAUCCCUAACUUUGUUCUAAAAUUCUAUCCUUAUGUUCACAGAUAGUGCAACUCUCACCCCUCAUCAAAAAGACUUCUCUUUGCAGCAAAAGGAGACCAUUACAGAAAACCACAACCAGUCAGAAUAUAGAGAAGAGUGUGUAUGGGGUGACCCAUAAUUGAUCCAUUACAAUAAAACUCCUGUACCUAAGGUUCGAGGAACUGGGCAGAAGAAGGGGAGGAAAAAUUGUAAGAGUUAAAUGGCCAGGCAAUCUAUUAUGAGAUUGUCUCCUAGAAAUGACAGGGAAAUUCACCUAUAAUCCCUCAAUAACAUGGCUGCUUAAACAAGAGCCGAAGAAGUGCAACACCGAUAGACAGACUACCAUAAAAGUGAGAUCCCUCGCUGGACCCUACCCAUGGACAAUGAACUACAGGCAACUACGGAAUGCUGGGAGCAGGAGAAAUAAUCCUCUUCAAGAAUGAGUCCCCUAAUUAGUUAUCCAAUAUGAAAUGGUCAAUCUUGAAAACAUACAUCAAGUACCACUAAGCGGACUGGACAGCUUCUCUCUCUCUCUCUCUCUCUCUCUCUGUGUGUGUGUGUGUGUGUGUGUACAUAAGUAUGUUGACAAUAACAAAGAAAAGGAGACCAGUAUUUUGAGAGAAAGUAGGAGAGGUACAUGGAAGAGGUUGGAGGGAGGAAAGGGAA